CAGUAGCCGCGGUAACACGUAGGGCGCAAGCGUUGUCCGGAAUUAUUGGGCGUAAAGAGCUCGUAGUCGGUCUGUCGCGUCUGGUGUGAAAUCCCGAGGCUCAACCUCGGGCUUGCAUCGGGUACGGGCAGACUAGAGUGCGGUAGGGGAGACUGGAAUUCCUGGUGUAGCGGUGGAAUGCGCAGAUAUCAGGAGGAACACCGAUGGCGAAGGCAGGUCUCUGGGCCGCAACUGACGCUGAGGAGCGAAAGCAUGGGGAGCGAACAGGAUUAGAUACCCCGGUAGUCCCUGUCUCUUAUAC
rnacentral:rRNA from 1 species